GUUGAUGUGAAAUGAGGGUUUUAACGCUUUACUUCGGCUUUCAGGUCGUGGCGGUAGCGCAUCGGACGAUUGUGGAGAAGAGUACAUGGUAGAGUAGGGCUUUAUAUGAUCGAUACGUUAUAUGAUAAAUGUUUGUAAUAUGAAGAACGUGUUAAAGUGAAAUUAUGUAUAGGUAAAUUGCUCCUAAAUGUAUAAGGAGGAUGAUUUAAUGUUUGUAUUAAAAGUGUUCCUUA